GAUUUAUUCUAGGUUUUAAUGAUCCUUCAACUGAUUUCACCACCACAGCACCUAAUCGUCCUCCUUGCUUAGCCGAUUUCCCACCGUUACCGGCAUCGUCGUCGAUGUUUCUUCGCCGCCGGUGACUGUCACCGCCAACAUCACCACGACACCACAUCACUGUUCUCCUCGCUUACCGCCAUUGAAUGCCGGCGUCGUGACUGUUCCGCCCGCCAGAUUUGCAACAACAGCUUACUAUGCUGGCACCGUCACCAACCAACACCACCGCUGCCGACUUGACGGAAAGUUAGGGGAAACAGAGCUGUGUUCGCUAUACUGCUAUACCGGCGGUGAGAGUGGUGUUUUUAUACGCCGCCGGCAGUGACGAUGAAGGCGUUGGAGUGUCUUGCUGGAAUAGAGAAAGAGAGAGUGAGACGUUGAGUAUUAAGUUUAGUUUAUGAAUAUGAUUCAAGUCCGUGUUAUUAAUUUAAUAAAUUCAUUUUAGUUGUAAUAAAAUUAAUGUUGCUUAAAUUAACUUUUGAAGCGACUUUUAUAUAAUCAUCCUGAAUUAUUAAGGAAGUAAUUUUUUAUACUUAUUCAUUUGUUAUAUAACUCAAUAUUGUUUUAAAGAUUAAAUAUUUGCCUAACUACUAGUAUAUAUACAAUUGAGGUAGAUCUUAGCUACAGUACUAAGAAAAUCCCUAAAGUAAAAUAUAUUUACAAAUAUGCCAUCUUAA
rnacentral:lncRNA from 1 species